UACGAAGGGUGCAAGCGUUACUCGGAAUUACUGGGCGUAAAGCGUGCGUAGACGGUUAUCUAAGUCGGAUGUGAAAGCCCCGGGCUCAACCUGGGAAUUGCAUUCGAGACUGAAUAGCUAGGGUACGGUAGAGGGAAGUGGAAUUUCCGGUGUAGCGGUGAAAUGCGUAGAUAUCGGAAGGAACAUCAGUGGCGAAGGCGGGUCUCUGGACAGUUCCUGACGCUGAGGCACGAAGGCCAGGGGAGCAAACGGG
rnacentral:rRNA from 1 species